rnacentral:rRNA from 1 species
AUUGAACGCUGGCGGCAGGCCUAACACAUGCAAGUCGAGCGAGCGGCGGACGGGUGAGUAAUGUAUGGGGACUGCCUGAUGGAGGGGGAUAACUACUGGAAACGGUGGCUAAUACCGCAUACUAUCGGAUAACCCAUAGGGGAUUAGCUAGUAGGUGGGGUAACGGCUCACCUAGGCGAAGAUCCCUAGCUGGUCUGAGAGGAGGAGCAGCCACACUGGGACUGAGACACGGCCCAGACUCCUACGGGGGCAGCAGUGGGGAAUAUUGCACAAUGGACGAAAGUCUGACCCAGCAACGCCGCGUGAUUGAAGAAGGUUUUCGGAUCGUAAAGCUCUUUUGGUGGAGAAGCGUUAUCUAACCAGAAAGCCACGGCUAACUACGUGCCAGCAGCCGCGGUAAUUC